rnacentral:lncRNA from 10 species
UCUCGCUAUAUUGCCCAGGCUGAUCUUGAGCGCCUGACCUCAAGCAGUCCUCCUGCCUCAGCCUCCCGAGUAGCUGAGAUCACAGGUGCAUGCCACUGCGCCCAGCUUGACAUUGAUUCUAUGAUAACAGCAGCCCGUGGAAUGGUGGAAGCAGCCAGACACACUUGGGAAUUACCUUGGCCUCUGGGACUCCCAACUCCCGAGAGAGUGGCAGACACCAGGAUAUGGCGGUGUUGCCCAGGGCUGAGCCUUGAGGUAAAGUAGGGAUCCCACUCCUCCCCCACACAGCAUGGGCAGCCUUGGGGCCUCAUGCAAGACGGGCCCGGCACCAGCCCCUACCGGGUUGCAAAAGCAGUGCAAAGGCCCAAAGAAAGAAGCAGCUCAAGCAGACAAGCAGGUGCCCGGGAAGGACCCUGUGGCUGGAGAUGCUGGAGGAAAGGCCUGCAGAGAAACUGCUGUCCUUCAGGGCCUGUCCCAGGGUAAAAGGAAGACCCAGGUCAUAAACACUGUGAACCGGGGGAGCUGGAACCCCUAGCCUGGAGGGUUGGAGAAAAAGUCCCCCAAGAAGGGUGGAGGGAGGGCUUCUGAAGUGGGGCAAGGGGCCAGUAAUAACCCAAGGAAGCAGCUACUGAAGACCAGGCACAUAGUAAGCCCCCAGCAAAUUCCAGUUCCCUUCUGCUCCUCCCUAGGGACACCAGUCCUGCCGACACCUCAAGCCACACACUCAGGGGCUCAACGUGCAGUCAGGAGCUCCCCGAGGUGACUGCAGGGUGGCCAAUGCCCCUUGCCACUCUCCUACCACUUUCCCCCACUCCAGUCCUGCCUCAGCUUCACCAGAGCCCCCAGGAUCCGUGUCCCCUGCACCCUGCAUGACUGGACGCCUGGGUCAUAUCACACCACAGUUUGCCACACCUGACUGCACGGCGCCCCUGGCCAGCCAAGCUGGUCAACACCUCCAGGACAGCGGCCAAGGCAGUGGAACCCAGCAGAGGUGGAGGAGAAGGUGAUUCCAUUUCCUCCCAAAUUAAGAUGGAGUAUGAGAAGGCACCGAGGAGCUGGAGGCAGGAGCUCCAGACUGGAGGCCAAGUGCUGUCAUCUGCAAGCCGUGUGACCCGGGACAAGUCUCUGUCCCACAGAUCCCUGCGUCCUCACCUGCAGCGAUCAUAACACCCAGCUCAAUGAGUCCAUGUGAAGAAAUGAAAAAGACCAUAUGAGAAUGCCUGUGGUGACCUGCUAGACAUGUGUGUGAUUACCUAGAGGCUAAGGGAGCUCCCUUCGGGUCUGAGUCCCGGGAUCACUGUGCCUUAAGCCAUGUGACCUUGGGAAAGCCAACUGCUCCCAGGCCUCAGUUUGCUCACCUGUCAAAUGGAAGGGAUGCUGGCAUUUCUGUCAGCAGUGUUGCAGGGAUAGGAUAGAAGGAGAUAAAGCAUUGUGAGGCCGAGGCAGGAGGAUCACUUGAAGCCAGGAGUUCGAGACCAACCUGGGCAGCAUUAGCAAGACCCCCAUCUCUACAAAAAUAAAAAUAAAUUAGCCAGGUAUAGUGGCGCAUGCCUGUAGUCCUGGCUACUUGGGAGGCUGAGGUGGGAGGAUCGCUUGAGCCUGGGAGGUUGAGGCUGCAGUGAGCUAUGAUCACACCAUUGCACUCCAGCCUGGGUGACAGAGUGAGACCCUGUCUCAAAAGGAAAAAAGAAUGUAUCCGACCAUUUUAAAACCAAAGCGGAGCACAUGGUAAU